UUCUUCAAACCUAUUUGACCAUGAAGCUUUUCACACACACACACACACACUCUCUCUCUCUCUCUCUCUCUCACACCCGCACACCCCUUCUCCUAGGAAUCAUGUUUGGUAGAAAAGUAGUUUGGAAAAUUCUUCAUUCUGAUAUAUUUUCUCUUUAUAUGAUGAUUUAGUUGCUGAUUAUUUCAGGGUUUUUUUUUCUGUUUUUUUUUUUUUUUUUUUUUUUGUCACAGGUAUUAUUCUCACUAAGGUUGGUUACUAUACUAUUCCAUCUAUGGAUGACCUUGCUAAAAUUACCAAUGAAAAAGGAGAGUGCAUUGUCUCUGACUUCACUAUUGGUCGGAAAGGUUAUGGUUCAAUCUAUUUUGAAGGAGAUGUGAAUUUGACAAAUCUAAAUUUGGAUGAUAUUG
rnacentral:sRNA from 1 species